CUUUUACAAUGAAGAGUUUGAUCCUGGCUCAGGAUGAACGCUAGCUACAGGCUUAACACAUGCAAGUCGAGGGGCAGCAUUUUAGUUUGCUUGCAAACUGAAGAUGGCGACCGGCGCACGGGUGAGUAACACGUAUCCAACCUGCCGAUAACUCCGGAAUAGCCUUUCGAAAGAAAGAUUAAUACCGGAUAGCAUACGAAUAUCGCAUGAUAUUUUUAUUAAAGAAUUUCGGUUAUCGAUGGGGAUGCGUUCCAUUAGUUUGUUGGCGGGGUAACGGCCCACCAAGACUACGAUGGAUAGGGGUUCUGAGAGGAAGGUCCCCCACAUUGGAACUGAGACACGGUCCAAACUCCUACGGGAGGCAGCAGUGAGGAAUAUUGGUCAAUGGGCGAGAGCCUGAACCAGCCAAGUAGCGUGAAGGAUGAAGGCUCUAUGGGUCGUAAACUUCUUUUAUAUGGGAAUAAAGUUUUCCACGUGUGGAAUUUUGUAUGUACCAUAUGAAUAAGGAUCGGCUAACUCCGUGCCAGCAGCCGCGGUAAUACGGAGGAUCCGAGCGUUAUCCGGAUUUAUUGGGUUUAAAGGGAGCGUAGGUGGAUUGUUAAGUCAGUUGUGAAAGUUUGCGGCUCAACCGUAAAAUUGCAGUUGAAACUGGCAGUCUUGAGUACAGUAGAGGUGGGCGGAAUUCGUGGUGUAGCGGUGAAAUGCUUAGAUAUCACGAAGAACUCCGAUUGCGAAGGCAGCUCACUAGACUGUCACUGACACUGAUGCUCGAAAGUGUGGGUAUCAAACAGGAUUAGAUACCCUGGUAGUCCACACAGUAAACGAUGAAUACUCGCUGUUUGCGAUAUACAGUAAGCGGCCAAGCGAAAGCAUUAAGUAUUCCACCUGGGGAGUACGCCGGCAACGGUGAAACUCAAAGGAAUUGACGGGGGCCCGCACAAGCGGAGGAACAUGUGGUUUAAUUCGAUGAUACGCGAGGAACCUUACCCGGGCUUAAAUUGCAACAGAAUAUAUUGGAAACAGUAUAGCCGUAAGGCUGUUGUGAAGGUGCUGCAUGGUUGUCGUCAGCUCGUGCCGUGAGGUGUCGGCUUAAGUGCCAUAACGAGCGCAACCCUUAUCUUUAGUUACUAACAGGUUAUGCUGAGGACUCUAGAGAGACUGCCGUCGUAAGAUGUGAGGAAGGUGGGGAUGACGUCAAAUCAGCACGGCCCUUACGUCCGGGGCUACACACGUGUUACAAUGGGGGGUACAGAAGGC
rnacentral:rRNA from 1 species